rnacentral:rRNA from 1 species
CGCGCAGGCGGCCUUUUAAGUCUGAUGUGAAAGCCCCCGGCUCAACCGGGGAGGGCCAUUGGAAACUGGAAGGCUUGAGUACAGAAGAGAAGAGUGGAAUUCCACGUGUAGCGGUGAAAUGCGUAGAUAUUAGGAGGAACACCAGUGGCGAAGGCGACUUACUGGACAGAUACUGACGCUGAGGCGCGAAAGCGUGGGGAGCAAACAGGAUUAGAUACCCCUGUA